rfam:Felis catus isolate Cinnamon breed Abyssinian chromosome B3, whole genome shotgun sequence.
GCCUGGGUAGCUCAGUCAGUUAAGCAUCUGACUUUAGCUCAGGUCAUGAUCUGGCAGUUUGUAGGAUCGAGCCCUGCAUCGGGCU